AGACAGCAGUAGCCACGGGAAUACGGAGGGUGCAAGCGUUAAUCGGAAUUACUGGGCGUAAAGCGCACGCAGGCGGUCUGACAAGUCAGAUGUGAAAUCCCCGGGCUUAACCUGGGAACUGCAUUUGAAACUGUCAGGCUGGAGUCUUGUAGAGGGGGGUGGAAUUCCAGGUGUAGCGGUGAAAUGCGUAGAGAUCUGGAGGAAUACCGGUGGCGAAGGCGGCCCCCUGGACAAAGACUGACGCUCAGGUGCGAAAGCGUGGGGAGCAAACAGGAUUAGAUACCCGCGUAGUCCCUGUCUCUUAUAA
rnacentral:rRNA from 1 species